CCCGAGGACUCGAGUAGAAGAUGUAGCAGCAGCAGAGCAGAGACAGCUGGAAACACAAGUGGAGCCACAGAUCUCAGCUGAGGACCUCUACUACAGCAGCCGGAGGGCACGUUAUGUCACCUGGAAGACAUAAGAACACGC